rnacentral:misc_RNA from 1 species
CAAGGUUUCCGUAGGUGAACCUGCGGGAGGAUCAUUAACACGUAUCCAAACGUUAAAACCCCCCCCGUGAACAUUGAUUCCUGCUCUUGUAACCCGCGAAGCUUGCAAUCUCUGGUAAAUCAUAGCCCGGAAAGUAGUUUUGAUUCAGAGACCUCUGGCUACGUGCGAACAUUGGAACAGUUACAAUCGAGCGGUAGUGCUAUUUCCCCAAGCAGUCAGUGUCGGAAAGUGUCAUUGAUUGUGCAAGGAUAGCGCUUCUACGAGUCCUGUAGACCGUACACUCGGGCAGGAGCUUUGCCAAAGGGUCCCCGCUCAAUGUAAUACAUUGGGUAAAAAAACCGAACAACUGUUAACAAUGGAUAUCUUGGUUCUC